rnacentral:rRNA from 1 species
UUGACCUCAAAUCAGGUAGGACUACCCGCUGAACUUAAGCAUAUCAAUAAGCGGAGGAAAAGAAACUAACAAGGAUUCCCUCAGUAACUGCGAGUGAAGUGGGAAAAGCUCAAAUUUGAAAUCUGGCAGGUUCUACACACUGUCCGAAUUGUAAUCUAAAGAAGUGUUAUCUGUGCUGGACCAUGUAAAAGUCUUCUGGAAUGGAGCAUCAUAGAGGGUGAGAAUCCCGUCUUUGACAUGGACUACCAGUAUGUUUAUGAUACACUCUCAAAGAGUCGAGUUGUUUGGGAAUGCAGCUCAAAAUGGGUGGUAAAUGCCAUCUAAAGCUAAAUAUUGGCGAGAGACCGAUAGCGAACAAGUACCGUGAGGGAAAGAUGAAAAGAACUUUGGAAAGAGAGUUAAACAGUACGUGAAAUUGCUGAAAGGGAAACGCUUGAAGUCAGUCAUGUCGGCUUGAAAUCAGGCUUGCUUCUGCAAGUUGCACUUUCUAGUUGAUAGGUCAGCAUCAAUUUUGACCRUUGGAUAAAGGCAUUGGGAAUGUGGCAUCUUUGGAUGUGUUAUAGCCCAUUGUUGGAUACAGCGGUUGGGAUUGAGGAACUCAGCAUGCCCCCUUGGGGUUCAGGUUUCGGCCAUGUUCAUGCUUAGGAUGCUGGCGUAAUGGCUUUAAUCGACCCGUC